rnacentral:rRNA from 1 species
UACGUAGGGUGCAAGCGUUGUCCGGAAUUAUUGGGCGUAAAGAGCUCGUAGGCGGUCUGUCGCGUCGGAUGUGAAAAUCCAGGGCUCAACCCUGGACCUGCAUUCGAUACGGGCAGACUAGAGUUCGGUAGGGGAGUCUGGAAUUCCUGGUGUAGCGGUGAAAUGCGCAGAUAUCAGGAGGAACAGCCGGUGGCGAAGGCGGGACUCUGGGCCGAUACUGACGCUGAGGAGCGAAAGCGUGGGGAGCAAACAGG